UACGGAGGGUGCAAGCGUUAUCCGGAUUCACUGGGUUUAAAGGGUGCGUAGGUGGGCAGGUAAGUCAGUGGUGAAAUCUCCGGGCUUAACCCGGAAACUGCCAUUGAUACUAUCUGUCUUGAAUACCGUGGAGGUGAGCGGAAUAUGUCAUGUAGCGGUGAAAUGCUUAGAUAUGACAUAGAACACCAAUUGCGAAGGCA
rnacentral:rRNA from 1 species